rnacentral:rRNA from 1 species
AGAGUUUGAUCCUGGCUCAGAACGAACGUUGGCGGCGUGGAUUAGGCAUGCAAGUCGAACGAGAACCGGGGGCAACUCCGGGGAAAGUGGCGAAAGGGGCAGUAAGGCGUGGGUAACCUACCCUGAGGACGGGGAUAGCUGCGGGAAACUGCAGGUAAUACUCGGCGACGUAGCGAAGGGGCAUCUCUUUGCUACCAAAUGAAUUUCGCCUCGGGAGGGGCUCACGUGGUAUUAGCUAGUUGGUGGGGUAACGGCCUACCAAGGCGAAGAUGCCUAGCGGGUGUGAGAGCACGACCCGCGCCACUGGCACUGAGACACUGGCCAGACACCUACGGGUGGCUGCAGUCGAGGAUCUGCGGCAAUGGGCGCAAGCCUGACCGAGCGACGCCGCGUGUGCGAUGAAGGCCUUCGGGUUGUAAAGCACUGUCGAGGGGGAGGAAGCUCCGAAAGGAGUUGACCUAUCCCUGGAGGAAGCACGGGCUAAGUUCGUGCCAGCAGCCGCGGUAAUAC